rnacentral:rRNA from 1 species
GACGAACGCUGGCGGCGCGCUUAACACAUGCAAGUCGAACGGAAAGGCCUGCUUUCCCUUGUGGAUUGCGGGUACUCGAGUGGCGAACGGGUGAGUAACACGUGAGUGAUCUGCCCCCAACUUGGGUAUAAGCCUGGGAAACUGGGUCUAAUUCCCGAUAGGACUGCAGGGUGGUGCCUGUGGUGGAAAACGAUUUUCUAGUGGUUGGGGAUGAGCUCGCGGCCUAUCAGCUUGUUGGUGGGGUAAUGGCCUACCAAGGCGGCGACGGGUAGCCGGCCUGAGAGGGUGGACGGCCACAUUGGGACUGAGAUACGGCACAGACUCCUACGGGAGGCAGCAGUGGGGAAUAUUACACAAUGGGCGGAAGCAUGAUGCAGCGACGCCGCGUGGGGGAUGACGGCCUUCGGGUUGUAAACUCCUUUCGACCGCGAGGAAGCCACCUGGUUGGAAGGGUGGUGACGGUAGUGGUAGAAGAAGCACCGGCUAACUACGUG